rnacentral:tRNA from 1 species
GCCGGGGUAGCUCAGUGGUUAGAGCGAGCGUUUCAUAAGCGCUAGGCCGUGAGUUCAACUCUCACCCUCGGCA